AUACGUAGGUGACAAGCGUUAUCCGGAUUUAUUGGGUUUAAAGGGUGCGCAGGCGGCCAUUUAAGUCAGCGGUUAAAUCGUGGGGCUCAACCCCAUUCUGCCGUUGAUACUGGGUGGCUUGAUUGCGGUCGAGGUUGGCGGAAUUCGUUGUGUAGCGGUGAAAUGCAUAGAUAUGACGAAGAACACCGAUUGCGUAGGCAGCUGACCAGACCGCAAAUGACGCUCAUGCACGAAAGUGCGGGGAUCGAACAGGAUUAGAUACCCUGGUAGUCCGCACAGUAAACGAUGAAUACUUGUUUUCGGCGAUAUAAUGUCGGAGGCAAAGCGAAAGCGAUAAGUAUUCCACCUGGGGAGUACGCCGGCAACGGUGAAACUUAAAGGAAUUGACGGGG
rnacentral:rRNA from 1 species